rnacentral:lncRNA from 1 species
CUACCAUCAUUACUUCCCCUAUAAUAAAAGAGGUGUCCAUUUUUGAAUUUGAUCAGUUCUUCACCUCUUCUCCUGAUUUUCACAUAGACCUAAAAUGUCCUAUUUUAUUUUCCCCAGUUUUUCCUUUAGUUUCCUUUUCCUUUUAGCUGUUCUUCAGUUUACAGUGAUCUGCAGUUUUAUAUUGCCAGAUAGAAUCCUUGGCAGUGGAUCCAGUAAUUCUUUGCACUCUGCUUUCUGGUUUUCCUGCCUGUUGCUCAAAGCAGAGAUCUUCCAGCCACUGGGGAUUGAGGGCUCCAAUAUCAGUCGUGUUCUUGGAGAUUGUUGGCCGAAGUCACACUAAGCUGGCCAGUGCAGGCUGGUGUGAGCCCAUCCACAUUAAUUCACUAAGUUGUAAGAUAUGAUUAUUAACAGGCUAGACUGUGAGAAGGGUAUGAAUUGGAUGUUGGAUUCAUGCUGGGUACUGAUUCCAUUAAUCUCUAUUACUAGAGUAUUAAUGGCUCACCUCCUCAUAGAAUUGUGAAGAUUGGACUGCAUUCGGUUGUGAAUGGCUGCCAUUUUAGUUUAAAGAAUGAUGUUUUUGGUUUUUGUAUUUAAGUUAUUUCAGUUAUUUAAGUUCUGCUAAUUUGUUUGAAGAAUUUUUG